GUGCCUGUGGCGCAAUGGAUAGCGCUUUGGUCUUCUAAUCCAAAGGUCGUGGCCUGGAAUCCCAACUGAUAUG